rnacentral:lncRNA from 1 species
CUAAGUGUUUUGAGGUUGCAAACUGACUUCUGGGUUUUGAGAACUAUUUGACUUUCUGGCUUCACAACUGGCCAUCAAACUACAGUCAGUCAUGCAACAGGAGCCUCUGAUGACGACCCUUUCUGCUGGGAACCCUUAAAUAGGCCUCUGAGGGAGCUCUGACUGCGGCUUCCCCCAAAACAGCGCCCCCUGUCAGCAGGAGGCAAUAAUGGAGCUAUUUUUUUCUUUCGUUGUCCAAGUGGAAGAUGUUAAAAAAGAAACCCUCAAUGUACAGCAAAACUGCAUUUCCCAAGCUCCUCUUCUCUCAAUGGGUCACAUGACUUGUUCUAGCCAAUAGAACGAGGGUGGAAGUAAUGUGACCACUUUCAGGUGUCCCCUAAAGUCUCCUGUGAGAUCUUCCAAUCUUGCUCUCCUCACUCUGCAUGGCUGGAAAUGAAUACUCUGAUAUCUGAAACAACAUGAUGAAGGAGCCAGGAUGCCUAAGUUCACCACUUAGAGAAGAGACAGCUUGAAGAGUCAUUCUGGAGAACUGGCUGACCAAACUCAUUGGAUUGUAACAGAAUAUAAACCUUUUAUUCUGAUAUGCCAGAGGCACAUUAUGGAUUGUAUUACAAUGACUAGCAUUAGCUGUCCUGAUUAAUAGACACUGUGACAAGAUUCUUUAUUGCUAAAAGAAAAAAAAAGCAAUGGCUGAUACCUGAUUAACAGACACUGUGACAAGAUUUUUUAUUGCUAAAAGAAAAAAAAAAAGCAAUGGCUGAUACCAUUUAAAAUAAAACUUACAAUUAAGGCAAUUCAGUUUGAAAUGUGUUUAUGAAGUUAUUUCAUAGCACUAAUUACAGUUCUAACAAUAUGUAUUUCUGUAGGUGUAUUUUCAAUUCUCUACUAAGUAGUAAGCUCUGUGAGACUGGAAGUUGUACAUGUUUUGUUCUUCACUGCAGAGGUCAUACUCCUCAGAGUACAGGACCCAUGGUGGGAAAUAUUAGCUUCAUGAAUGAGUGAAUGAAUGACUACACACAAGGUUUGAUAAUUAGCAUCCAGAAUAACAAAGAUAUAUACAAUGAAUUAAUGAUUCAUAGUGAGGCUUAGUCAAGUAUACAAAAAGAACAAGAUGAAAUGCAACAUAAUUGUGAUAUUGUGAAGUGUAUACUUGGUCUUCACCCCUGUUUACUGUCAUACACACAAUUCCUAAGAUGCUUGGAAUCUCCAAAGUGUUGUCUUUUUGUAUGCUAAUGUUCACUGAUAGCUUCAGGAUGGAGGUGGUCACCAGAAGGACAAAGGCAUGAUUAUAGGGUUGGAACUUCUGGGCCCACCUCCCCAACUUCCAGGGAGAAGAGCGGGGCUGAAAGACAGACUGAUCAGCAAUGGCCUGUGGUUUGAUCAUAAUGAAGCCUCCAUAAAAACCCAAGUUGACAGAGUUUGGCAAGCUUUUAGAUAGCUGAACACAUGGAGGCUCCCAGAGGAUGGCAUGCCCAGUGAGGGCAUGGAAGCUUCACACCCCUUUCUUCAUACCUUACCAUACACAUCUCUUCAUCUAUAUUCUUUGUAAUAUCUUUUAUAAUAAACCAGUAAAUGUA